rnacentral:rRNA from 1 species
UACGUAGGGGGCAAGCGUUGUCCGGAUUUAUUGGGCGUAAAGAGCGUGUAGGCGGCCAGGUAGGUCAGCUGUGAAAACUCGAGGCUCAACCUCGAGACGCCGGUUGAAACCAUCUGGCUAGAGUCCGGAAGAGGAGAGUGGAAUUCCUGGUGUAGCGGUGAAAUGCGUAGAGAUCGGGAGGAACACCAGAGGCGAAGGCGGCGACCUGGACAGGUACUGACACUCAACUACGAAAGCGUGGGGAGCAAACAGG